CAACUCGCUCAUGUUCUCAUGAUGGGAUGAAAGUCUUACCCACUUAGAAGGUGGAUAAGUCAUUUUCCCAUCACCAAAAAAAUAAUAUUAUAAUUUUAUUCCUAAAAUACCCUAACCAUAUAAUAAUAUAAUAAUAAUAUAAUUAUGAUGUAUUAUAUCAUAAUAACAUAUUAUAUUAUAUUAUAUUAUAUUUUUAUAUGAUAUAGUAUGUAACAUCUAAUAACUAUUUACAGUUUUCUGAUUUGCAAAAAAAAAAAUUGCUCGAAAUCUUUUCACAAAAUAUCUAACUUUUUAUUGAUUAGGAUAAUAAAAUUUUGUUUCUGAUCAUCAUCCAAUAUCUAAUAUUCUUUUAUAAUUUUCUCAUUUGCCAAUAUUUGUACUUUGAAUUGCUCCUGGGACAUCUCUAUUAUUCUUAUUUACUAAUAUGAUUAAAACUGCUUGUUUUUUCUCUUAUCAUCCUUUUUUUUUUUCUUUUACAUCUUUAUAUGGCAAAAUUUUCUUUCCUACUCCAUAAGACUAAGAUUUCUUUUUUCACAAUCUUUUUUUUUUUUGCGCUGAUGAUUCAUACAAUUCGAGUAAAAAUACAUCCAAUAAAAUUAAAAAAUCUUGGAGUGCUUUAGACAGCUCUUCUUCUCUUAUCCACAGGAUACCUUCCAAGUGAUUUUGUAUCACAACCUUUCCAUGCCGGAAGGGCUCUUCACUUGUAAUCUUUUCUUUUGAUGACAUCUCUAUUUUUUUUUUAAUAUCUCCAUCACAUCAUUGGAUAUUUUACUAGUCGUUUCAU
rnacentral:lncRNA from 1 species